AAUGAAAUCAAUGGUAGGUGCACUGAUUGAAAGAAUGAAAUCAAUGGUAGGUGCACUGAUGCCAUCAGGUUCAUUAGCACUGCACAUUUUCAUCCUAGAGAAGAGUGGGGAACACUUACCAGGCUCCCACAAACCAGAGUGAACGCUACCCAUGACCAGAGAGGCAUUCUCCUGUAGAAGAUUUCAGCUUAAAAUGCCACCCAGAGACCAAGUUCAUUCUGUCAACUGAUCUCCAGCACCUGGUAUACUCCCCAGCUUCUCUUCAAGCCUGACUUUCUGAAAGCAUUGCCCUCUGGCUCCUGAUCCCACUGACCAGCUUCCAUCAGAGCCACCAGUGACUUCAUUGCCAAACCUUUAAUGUAAGUAAGCUCCUUGGAACACCUGACACUAAUGAUGUCUCCAUCCUUCUUGAAAUACUCCUUGGGACAUCAAUGCCCUGUUCCCUCCCACCUCUCCAGCUGCUGUUCCUCUGUAAGUCCCUCAAAUGCUGGAGUUUCUCA